rnacentral:lncRNA from 1 species
GACUUCUCUAGUCUCUGUCCCACAGACAGGUAUAAAAUGUUAUAAGAGCUCUAUUGGAAUAUCUGCCACAGAGAAGGCAGAACAGUUGAAAAGAGCAGGCAAAAGAAUCCUCGAAGCUUAUGUAUCCAGCCACAGACAGCUCCCGAUGCGCUGCCCCCUGAGAAAACACUUGAAUUGACGCAAUAUAAAACAAAAUGUGAAAACCAAAGUGGAUUUAUCCUGCAGCUCAAGCAGCUUCUUGCCUGUGGUAAUACCAAGUUUGAGGCAUUGACAGUUGUGAUUCAGCACCUGCUGUCUGAGCGGGAGGAAGCACUGAAACAACACAAAACCCUAUCUCAAGAACUUGUUAACCUCCGGGGAGAGCUAGCUUGACCUUCAGUUCACAGAAUUCCUGGCACUGAUCUGACUAAGCCUAGCAGAACUUCUGAUGAGCAAAAUAUUUCUCUUGCUGAAGAGAGGGACAGAGUUAUUUUUGUAAUUGUGUGAAUUCCUGUUAAAUAAUGUUGUCAUUUUUUUUUCUGAAGCACUUUUCAUAUGAGAAUAGUG